CCCGACUGCUAUCGGAUUGAGAUUUAGCCAUGCGAGUCGAACGUCCCCCUGUUGCGGGGGGCGUGGCGUACGGCUCAGUAACACGUAGUCAACCUGCCCUGGAGACAAGGACAACCCCGGGAAACUGGGAUUAAUCCUUGAUAGGUCAUCUCAUCUGGAAGGAGAGAUGGCUUAAAGGGGUACGCGGGCUUCUUCCGCGAAUCUGCUCCAGGAUGGGACUGCGUCCGAUCAGGCUGUUGGCGGGGUAAUGGCCCACCAAACCUGUAACCGGUACGGGCCUUGAGAGAGGUGGCCCGGAGAUGGACACUGAGAGAAGGGUCCAGGUCCUACGGGGCGCAGCAGGCGCGAAACCUUCGCAAUGCGCGAAAGCGUGACGAGGUUAAUCCGAGUGACUCCCGCUGAGGGGGUCUUUUGUCAGCUGUAAAUAGGCAGGCGAAUAAGGGGAGGGCAAGCCUGGUGUCAGCCGCCG
rnacentral:rRNA from 1 species